rnacentral:rRNA from 1 species
UUAAGUUAUUAAGGGCGUACGGUGGAUGCCUUGGCACUAGAAGCCGAUGAAGGACGUUACUAACGACGAUAUGCUUUGGGGAGCUGUAAGUAAGCUUUGAUCCAGAGAUUUCCGAAUGGGGAAACCCAGCAUGAGUUAUGUCAUGUUAUCGAUAUGUGAAUACAUAGCAUAUCAGAAGGCACACCCGGAGAACUGAAACAUCUUAGUACCCGGAGGAAGAGAAAGAAAAUUCGAUUCCCUUAGUAGCGGCGAGCGAAACGGGAAGAGCCCAAACCAACAAGCUUGCUUGUUGGGGUUGUAGGACACUCUGUACGGAGUUACAAAGGACGACAUUAGACGAAUCAUCUGGAAAGAUGAAUCAAAGAAGGUAAUAAUCCUGUAGUCGAAAAUGUUGUCUCUCUUGAGUGGAUCCUGAGUACGACGGAGCACGUGAAAUUCCGUCGGAAUCUGGGAGGACCAUCUCCUAAGGCUAAAUACUCUCUAGUGACCGAUAGUGAACCAGUACCGUGAGGGAAAGGUGAAAAGCACCCCGGAAGGGGAGUGAAAUAGAACCUGAAACCGUGUGCUUACAAGUAGUCAGAGCCCGUUAAUGGGUGAUGGCGUGCCUUUUGUAGAAUGAACCGGCGAGUUACGAUUUGAUGCAAGGUUAAGCAGUAAAUGUGGAGCCGUAGCGAAAGCGAGUCUGAAUAGGGCGUUUAGUAUUUGGUCGUAGACCCGAAACCAGGUGAUCUACCCUUGGUCAGGUUGAAGUUCAGGUAACACUGAAUGGAGGACCGAACCGACUUACGUUGAAAAGUGAGCGGAUGAACUGAGGGUAGCGGAGAAAUUCCAAUCGAACCUGGAGAUAGCUGGUUCUCUCCGAAAUAGCUUUAGGGCUAGCCUCAAGUGAUGAUUAUUGGAGGUAGAGCACUGUUUGGACGAGGGGCCCCUCUCGGGUUACCGAAUUCAGACAAACUCCGAAUGCCAAUUAAUUUAACUUGGGAGUCAGAACAUGGGUGAUAAGGUCCGUGUUCGAAAGGGAAACAGCCCAGACCACCAGCUAAGGUCCCAAAAUAUAUGUUAAGUGGAAAAGGAUGUGGCGUUGCCCAGACAACUAGGAUGUUGGCUUAGAAGCAGCCAUCAUUUAAAGAGUGCGUAAUAGCUCACUAGUCGAGUGACACUGCGCCGAAAAUGUACCGGGGCUAAACAUAUUACCGAAGCUGUGGAUUGUCCUUUGGACAAUGGUAGGAGAGCGUUCUAAGGGCGUUGAAGCAUGAUCGUAAGGACAUGUGGAGCGCUUAGAAGUGAGAAUGCCGGUGUGAGUAGCGAAAGACGGGUGAGAAUCCCGUCCACCGAUUGACUAAGGUUUCCAGAGGAAGGCUCGUCCGCUCUGGGUUAGUCGGGUCCUAAGCUGAGGCCGACAGGCGUAGGCGAUGGAUAACAGGUUGAUAUUCCUGUACCACCUAUAAUCGUUUUAAUCGAUGGGGGGACGCAGUAGGAUAGGCGAAGCGUGCGAUUGGAUUGCACGUCUAAGCAGUAAGGCUGAGUAUUAGGCAAAUCCGGUACUCGUUAAGGCUGAGCUGUGAUGGGGAGAAGACAUUGUGUCUUCGAGUCGUUGAUUUCACACUGCCGAGAAAAGCCUCUAGAUAGAAAAUAGGUGCCCGUACCGCAAACCGACACAGGUAGUCAAGAUGAGAAUUCUAAGGUGAGCGAGCGAACUCUCGUUAAGGAACUCGGCAAAAUGACCCCGUAACUUCGGGAGAAGGGGUGCUCUUUAGGGUUAACGCCCAGAAGAGCCGCAGUGAAUAGGCCCAAGCGACUGUUUAUCAAAAACACAGGUCUCUGCUAAACCGUAAGGUGAUGUAUAGGGGCUGACGCCUGCCCGGUGCUGGAAGGUUAAGAGGAGUGGUUAGCUUCUGCGAAGCUACGAAUCGAAGCCCCAGUAAACGGCGGCCGUAACUAUAACGGUCCUAAGGUAGCGAAAUUCCUUGUCGGGUAAGUUCCGACCCGCACGAAAGGCGUAACGAUUUGGGCACUGUCUCAACGAGAGACUCGGUGAAAUCAUAGUACCUGUGAAGAUGCAGGUUACCCGCGACAGGACGGAAAGACCCCGUGGAGCUUUACUGUAGCCUGAUAUUGAAAUUCGGCACAGCUUGUACAGGAUAGGUAGGAGCCUUUGAAACGUGAGCGCUAGCUUACGUGGAGGCGCUGGUGGGAUACUACCCUAGCUGUGUUGGCUUUCUAACCCGCACCACUUAUCGUGGUGGGAGACAGUGUCAGGCGGGCAGUUUGACUGGGGCGGUCGCCUCCUAAAAGGUAACGGAGGCGCUCAAAGGUUCCCUCAGAAUGGUUGGAAAUCAUUCAUAGAGUGUAAAGGCAUAAGGGAGCUUGACUGCGAGACCUACAAGUCGAGCAGGGUCGAAAGACGGACUUAGUGAUCCGGUGGUUCCGCAUGGAAGGGCCAUCGCUCAACGGAUAAAAGCUACCCCGGGGAUAACAGGCUUAUCUCCCCCAAGAGUUCACAUCGACGGGGAGGUUUGGCACCUCGAUGUCGGCUCAUCGCAUCCUGGGGCUGUAGUCGGUCCCAAGGGUUGGGCUGUUCGCCCAUUAAAGCGGUACGCGAGCUGGGUUCAGAACGUCGUGAGACAGUUCGGUCCCUAUCCGUCGUGGGCGUAGGAAAUUUGAGAGGAGCUGUCCUUAGUACGAGAGGACCGGGAUGGACAUACCUCUGGUGUACCAGUUGUCGUGCCAACGGCAUAGCUGGGUAGCUAUGUGUGGACGGGAUAAGUGCUGAAAGCAUCUAAGCAUGAAGCCCCCCUCAAGAUGAGAUUUCCCAACUUCGGUUAUAAGAUCCCUCAAAGAUGAUGAGGUUAAUAGGUUCGAGGUGGAAGCAUGGUGACAUGUGGAGCUGACGAAUACUAAUCGAUCGAAGACUUAAUCAA